AUUCUAGAAAUGCAACAUUUACGCUGUAGUUGCACAGGCGCUCGAUGGCAAUGAUUCAAUGAUCGACUUUCACUUUUUAAACUACUUGGGAAGAAAUAUCAUGAAAUAACCACUCACAGUGGGAUAUUUGAUGGGCCUAAAAUGUAACUACUAAGACAAGUAACAAUGCAUUAAAAAUCUUACUUCCAAUUUUCUGAAUAGUAUAUUAAUGAACCGCAUCACAGGAAAGGGGACCUUAAAGAUGAAACUUGUUCUAGAUUUAGACCUCGCCGUCAUGUGUCACUAUAUAUUUCAACUUGUUAUGGUAUGUAGUAUGUUAAUAUAUACAAUUUUCUAUUGUUAUUCCACAUUUCCAAGUUUCCUUUUUCAUGUGAUUGUGACCAGUUUGGAUCCAGAUCAGUGUGCACUUGAAAGCUCAGUCUGAUCAGGAUCCAAACUUGUUUAUUAACAUCUGAACAAGUACUGACUAUAUAGUGAACAGUUUGGAUUCUGAUGAGACUGAGCGUUCAAAUGCAGACCUAUCGCCGUGGCCUAGUGGAUAAGGCGUCCGCCUCAGAAUCAGGAGGUCGAAGGUUCGAGCCCCAUGGGGAGCGUUUGUCGAAGGAUGGAUGUUUGUCAUGGGACUUGUUCCGAUAUGGCCAGCUCGUGAGCUGCGAGCGUUAAACAUGAAUGGUUACCAACUUCUAUCUGCCUGUCGCCUGGCAUUGUGAUAGGAGUUGGGAGUUACAUGGUAUACAAGCAAAGGUGUCUCAUAAGCUGGCCCUUUCAAUAGGGGUGACACUAUAAUAAAAAAGGCCUUUGCCUUUGCAGGCUGAUCUGGGUCUGAACUGGUGGAAAAAGCCUUAAGGUCCCUGUUUGACACAGCUGAUUUUUACAUUUUAGGCUGAGUCUUUGUUUACAAUUUGAUAAUGUUAAUAAAAAGUAUUCUGAUGUAGUUUAAAAGGAAAAUCUACAUGCAUAAUUGUUACGAUACAUAAUACAUAAUACUGUACUUGGAAUUUUUUUAUGCCCCCGGAUCGAAUGAUCGGCGGUAUAUUGUUUUGGGCCUUUAUGUCUGUCAAUCUUUUACUCUGUCAUUCUGUCACAAAACUUUAACCUUACAGUAAAGUUUUGCAAUUACUUUUGAAAUAUUGAACAUAGCAACUUGAUAUUUGGCAUGCAUGUGUAUCUCAUGGAGCUGCACAUUUUGAGUGGUGAAAGGUCAAGGUCAUCCUUCAAGGUCAAAGGUCAACAACAAAAAAAGCAGCACAUUAGAGGCAUUGUGUUUCUGACAAACACAUCUUUUGUUUUAUUUUUUAAAGUAAAAUAUACCCAAUUGACCUUUAAAUCAUCCACUGUUAGGUUUAAAAUACUCAAAAACACAUUCCUUGAUCAUGUUGAUAAAUAAAUACAGAAGGAACCAAAAUGCCUUGAAAGAGGAGGUCAAAUUCAAAGAUUUGUUCUCUCAAUUUUGUCAAAAAAAACAGCUGGGGUGGGGGGCAAAAAAAUAAGGUAGGUAGGGGUAGUGGAAACAAGCAAUUUAUAUAUAUAUAAUUAGUAUUAAAUAUUAUAAAAAGUGUCCUGUGUGUGAUAUAUUUUGUCGAGAUGGAGAGGAUGCAAUAUGUACUGUUUGCCUACCUAAAAUUGCAUGUAUGUUUUGUAAAAAUAAAAUCUAACUAUAAAGA